AAAUACUGGCGCAGUGGGAUUGUACUGGAAGAAGAGGUGAUACAAUCCUUUGUAGAGCAUCGGUCCUGGCUUAAGUCCAUGAGGAAAGAGGAAGAAGAACGUACACAUACAAGGGUGGCUUUUACUUGAGUGACUCUAGAAGUUAUAAUUUUACCAUUCAUCCAGUUCUUGAUGGGUUGGAAGUGGAAUGCAGGGCGUAAGUCAUCCCCCACAGACGAUCCUGCAAGCGAUAAGAUGAUUAUUAUCAGAAGCAUAGCCGGCAUUAUCGUGAGCUCUCACACAACUGGUGGAGUUGAAAGGCAAAAGUUGGUGCAACCAUCUUUUUUAGCUUAAUCAGGGAUGACAGGAUUCGAACCUGCGGCCGUUUGUACCCAAAACAAACGCGCUACCGAGCUGCGCUACAUCCCUGGCCGCAAUUUCCAGUGCCGGAAUGCUGCCCCAGGCGAACUUGUAUGUUAGCAAAACAGUUUUGAAACUCUUGACAGGUUCUUUCCUGCUCUUGUCAAACAGCUUUCAAAUCCUUCGAAAAAGAUCGGGAAAGUGAAAGUAAAAUA